rnacentral:rRNA from 1 species
GAUGAACGCUGGCGGCGUGCCUAAUACAUGCAAGUCGAGCGAACGGACGAGAAGCUUGCUUCUCUGAUGUUAGCGGCGGACGGGUGAGUAACACGUGGAUAACCUACCUAUAAGACUGGGAUAACUUCGGGAAACCGGAGCUAAUACCGGAUAAUAUUUUGAACCGCAUGGUUCAAAAGUGAAAGACGGUCUUGCUGUCACUUAUAGAUGGAUCCGCGCUGCAUUAGCUAGUUGGUAAGGUAACGGCUUACCAAGGCAACGAUGCAUAGCCGACCUGAGAGGGUGAUCGGCCACACUGGAACUGAGACACGGUCCAGACUCCUACGGGAGGCUGCAGUAGGGAAUCUUCCGCAAUGGGCGAAAGCCUGACGGAGCAACGCCGCGUGAGUGAUGAAGGUCUUCGGAUCGUAAAACUCUGUUAUUAGGGAAGAACAUAUGUGUAAGUAACUGUGCACAUCUUGACGGUACCUAAUCAGAAAGCCACGGCUAACUACGUG